rnacentral:rRNA from 1 species
UACAGAGGGUGCGAGCGUUAAUCGGAAUUACUGGGCGUAAAGCGUGCGUAGACGGUUAUUUAAGUCGGGUGUGAAAGCCCCGGGCUCAACCUGGGAAUUGCGAUGGAGACUGCAAGGCUAGAAUCUGGCAGAGGGGGGUAGAAUUCCACGUGUAGCAGUGAAAUGCGUAGAGAUGUGGAGGAACACCGAUGGCGAAGGCAGCCCCCUGGGAUAACACUGACGCUCAUGCACGAAAGGCGUGGGGAGCAAACGAGG